rnacentral:rRNA from 1 species
AUGCGACAUUCCGACACAAUCGAGCUGCUGCGAGGGAGACUUCAGGAGGUCAUUGGCUGGAAAAGGUUUCUGCUUGUUCUUGACGAUGUUUGGAAUGAAGUACAGCAAAAGUGGGAGGAUACCCUGAAAUCAGUGUUGUGCUCCGUCGGUGGUUCUGGAAGCGUUAUAAUCGUCACGACUCGGAGCCCACGAGCAGCGUCUAUAAUGGGCACGCUUCAAACCCAUGAGCUGGCACAUCUGAGUGAAGAGCACUCGUGGAAACUGUUCUCAAGGAAAGCUUUCAAGGAAAAUGUGCGUGAGCAGGCAGAAUUGAUGUCGAUCGGCAAGCGUAUUGUCAGCAAAUGCAAGGGGCACCCUCUUGCUCUGAGUGCAAUGGGGGGUUUGAUGAGUUCAAAAAGACGAGCCUGGGAAUGGGAGGCCAUUGCAGAAAGCAGUAUUGGGGAUAGUGUUACAGGCAAACAAGAAAUCAUAUCCAUACUAAAAUUAAGCUAUCGGCACUUAUCUUCUGAAAUGAAGCAGUGCUUUGCCUUCUGCGCGGUCUUCUCCAAGAACAGUGAGAUGGAAAAAAGCAUGUUGAUCCAACUGUGGAUGGCUAAUGGGUUUAUUCAAAAAGAGGCAGGAAUGAUGGAUUUGGAGCAGAAAGGCGAAUUUGUUUUCAACGAGUUGGUUUGGAGAUCCUUUCUUCAGGAUGUGGAAGUGAAACCAUUUGAUGACCCAGCUUCAAGGCAUGGUUUGGUUGGAUGUGGGAUGCAUGAUUUAAUGCAUGACCUAGCAAAAGAUGUUACGGAUGAAUGUGCAACUAUACAAGAGUUGAUUCAGCAGAAAGCAUCUGUAAAAGAUGUCUUUCACAUGAAAAUAUCAUCAGAUGAAUUGGAACAAUGCCAUGGAUUACUGAAAAGUAAGGAAUCUCUCCGAACUUUGUUAGCACCGUCAUCAUCACAGAAGGAUCUUAGCAAGUUAAGGCUGACAUCAUUAAGAGCAUUAUCUUGCCGUGGCCUUCAUAUCCGACAACCCAUAAAUACAAAGCAUUUGCGAUAUCUUGACCUUUCUCAUUCUGAAAUUGUUACAUUGCCAGAUUCGGUAUGCAUGUUGUACAACUUGCAGUCGCUGAGACUCAAUCAUUGCCACAAGCUCCGAUAUUUACCUGAAGGCAUCAGAACCAUGAAAAACCUCCACCAUCUCUAUCUCUUUGAGUGUGAUAAACUGGAGCGGAUGCCCCCAAAGAUUAGUCAACUAAGCAACCUGCACACGCUAACAUUGUUUGUUGUGGACACUGGAGAUGGUUGUGGAAUUGAUCAACUCAAAGAUCUAAAAUACCUUAGCCACCGGUUGGAACUAUACAAUUUGAUAAAAGUAGAGAGUGUGGUGGAUGCAAAAGAAGCCAAGCUCUAUCAGAAAAAGAAUCUAAGUGAACUGUCGCUAUGCUGGGGUCGUCGAAAAUAUCAUGGGCCUCAAGAUGAUGUUGGUAACAUGGAAGAAGUAUUGGAGGCUCUUGCACCUCAUAGUGAGAUCAAGGUAUUGGAGAUACAUGGUUAUGGUGGCACUAAAUUCUCGUCAUGGAUGAUGCACUCUCAGAUGUGCCAGUGCCUAAGAAAACUCAUAAUCUUCAACUGCCCAAAAUGCAAACAUCUCCCAUCGGCUCCGCUGUUGGUCUCCCUCGAGUAUUUGUCCUUAGGCUACAUGGAUAGCCUGACCAUAAUAUGCAAGGACACUGAUGUGGAGGUUGAAGGAUGCAAUGCGUCUCAUCAGAUCUUCCCAAAACUAAAAAGAAUGGUCUUAGAAAACUUACCAGAGUUGGAGAGAUGGACAGAAAACAGUACUGCAGGGGAACCUCAUAGCUUGGUGAUGUUUCCUCUGCUCGAAGAGCCAAGUAUGUAUGCCUGUCCGAAGGUUGCAAGUGUUCCGAGCAGCCCAGUUCUAGAGAAGCUGCGGAUAAUGGAAAGUUACAGUCUUCCAAUCAGCUCAAUCGCUCAUCUGACAACGCUCUCUGAGCUUGAGUUUGGUGGAGAAUUCAUUCGUUCUGCAAGCAUGCCUUUGGGCUCUUGGCUAUCCCUCGUGAAAUUGAGUGUUAGCUCACUGGGUGAUAUGAUGCUGCCUCCAGAGGACCAGCAAAGCCAUAGGCCCUUGGAAACCCUUCAGAGUAUGUGGCUAUCUGGUCCCAAUUGCUUUGAAACGGCAUCCACUUUGUCAAAAUCGCACCUGCUGAGGCUCUGGGAGUGCUUUGGUUUUGUUGAAGAACUGUGCAUUUCUGGGUGCGACGAACUUGUCCAUUGGCCAAUGGAGGAGCUCCAAAACCUGACUCGUCUCCGUUUUCUGCGCAUUAGCUCCUGCGUUAAGCUCAAGGGGAAGGGCUCGCCGUCUGAUAAAAUCCUUCCGUUGCCCCAGCUGGAGAUGUUAAGCAUUUACAACUGUGGCAGCUUACGGUAUAUUCCUGAGGUGGCUGCAUCCCUUGAUGAACUAGUGAUAGGAGAAUGCACAUGUUUGAUGGCGCUGCCUUCAAAUGUAUCCAAGCUGAGGGUGCUCCGGAUUCAGGGCUGCAAUGGCUUGAAAACUUUGCCCAAUGGCCUCACCUCUCUUGAGCAGGUGACAAUUGAGAGGUGUACAGGGAUAGAAAAAUUCCUGCAGGACCUCCUCCAACGGCUCCCAGCACUCAAAUCCUUGAAGAUAGUUGGUUGCCCCAACUUGCAAAGACAUUGCAGACAAGGUGGGGAGUAUUUCCACUUGAUUUCCUCUAUUCCACAUAAGGACAUUCCAGCAGCAGAAACUGAGUCUGGCAGGAUGAACCAGACGUUUUUAAAGAGGUUAAUGCCCUCCUGCUGA